UCCCUCUGGGCAUGAACCCAGCACAAAAGCUGUGUCUGCUGCUCUGGGAGAGGAGCUUCUCCUUGUGUGGCCUUUCCCAGCUGAGGACUGACACUGUAGAGCCUGAAUCAUGGAAUUUGGACUCAAUGGCAUUUUCAUACUGAUGAUUUUGCAAGGUGUCCAUUGUGACAUUCAGCUGGUGGAGUCUGGGGGAGAUGUGAGACAGCCUGGAGGAUCCCUGAAACUCUCCUGCAAAGCUUCUGGAUUCACCUUCAGCAACUAUUGGAUGAGCUGGGUCCGCCAGGCUCCAGGGAAGGGGCUGGAGUGGCUCUCAAACAUUAAUGGUCCUGGAAGUAGCACAAACUAUGCAGACUCUGUGAAAGGCCGAUUCACCAUCUCCAGGGACAAUGGCAACAGCCUGCUGCACCUGCAGAUGAAUUCCCUGAAAGCCGAGGACACAGCCAUGUAUUACUGUGCAAGAGACACAGUGAGGGAGAGGAGUGAGAGAGCAGACAAAAACCUCCUCAUCAGAGAGUUCUGGUGGAGAAUGACAAAGAGGGAACUCCAGAACUCUGAGCACAAGGAGCCCAGUUACAACAACAGGUGAAGAGGGAGGCUGACAAGUGUCUUUUCAAGGCAGCUGCCUAAGAAGGUGGGAUUUGCGCUCUCAGCCUCUUCUCAUGUCAGAGUUUCAGAGUUUCAGUGACUCUAUCAGAAUGUCUUUUGACCUCAUAGGAAGAUGCUUGCUGUGGUCUAAACAAGCAGGAUUUAUGGUAGAUCCUCCCAGUGCUUCUCUGGGGAUAGGAGUGGAAUAAACGCCUUUUAACUUCUGUUUCUGAGCUGGCGUCAUUUAAUUAGGGUUAACCUAGAUGCUCUGCUUAACAUCUAACAUAGUUAUAAAUAUGUGUAUCUUUUUGUGUACACUUAUAUAUGUUAUCUUUCCAUGUAUAUAUUCAUCCAUAUUCAUGCAUAUAUGGGAGGAACCUGAUAGAUGGGAGGGAGCAUGAGGCUUCUUCUCAACCAGACUUUUCAUAUAAUCAAAAUCAUAUUCCUUUUGUCCCUGUGGAGGGGGUUUCCAUACUGACUAACACAACUGGGAGGCCUUGGUGGUGGCCUUCACUGGGGCUGGGUCAUACAGGAGGUCUGUUCUAGGGUCUUGGGACUAGAGGUGGGGCUUCCCCUUCUCUGGCUGGGACUCAGCCUGCUUUUGCUCAGACUGCUCCAACUGUGUUUCCCUCCAAGCUCUGUGGGGCUAACCUUACCUGUUGGCUUUCUGUGCUGCUCUGGUCUGCAGGACUCUUAAUUGCUUUUAAAUUUAUAGCUGCAAGGAAUCAAAGAGAACCUUUCUGGCAAUCCAAGAACAUAACCUCAAGCUGGGAGCUGAAGAUGAAGCAGAAUCAAACUGUGCUAAUUCAGAACCAAUAUACAUAGAGAUUUGUGGGCCAAGACCAAGCAAAGGGGAUGUCUUUAGUUUUACAAUCUGGAAUGAAGAUUUUGUGGAAAAGUGGCUUUUCUGCUGGUAUAGUUGGAUAUUAUUUCCAUGCUUUAAAACUCCAUACUGUUAUAGUUAAAUUUAAUCUCUACUGAUAAAAGUAUUAUAUUUUUAUGAGAUAUAUUAAAGAUUAUUAGAAAGCAAGGAAAUAAAAAAUAUAAAAUAAGAAAACCACGUGCCUAGGGCACAUUAGCCCAUUCACAAUGUACUCACUACAUAUUGCCUGCCAGGUAGAGAAUGUGUAUGCUUAGAAGUGGAAGAAGAGAGGUUCUUUGGAGUCAGAGAGCCCUUUAAAUACUAAUUUGUGUUCUCUCACUAAGGUGAGGACUCAGGUGAGAUUAUAGGGAAUUCUGGGAAAUACCAAGGACUUCUGGGGAUUGAAGUCUGGGGUUCAAAUCUCCAUUUUUAUAGUACUGAAACUAUUCUCUACAGGUUUUGUUCUUCCUCUGCAGCAGACACUGUUGUGAUUCUCUAAGGAUUUGGCCAAAAUAGUGGGAAAAGUAGACUGAUGCAUUAAAACACAUGUAAGAUUUAGAUUACCAAUGUUAAUUUCCUUAAUGAUGCUCUUAAUGUGCUCACUAUUGUAUGAGCUGAUUUUUAACACAGGGGUUAUAUGUAUUCAUAUUAGCAAUCUUCCUAUAAAUGAAAGCAGAAUGUAUAAAAAUGACAGAAUAAUUUACAGAACUUUGAGAGGAUUUAUUUAUUAACUAGUUUUUGUAUCUGAAGCCCUUACUAAUACAUAAUAAUUCAUAAGUAAAUUUUGAUUUCCCCUUCAAAUAUGAAUCCCAUGUUUAUGUGUGUACAUAUAUGUUACAUAUAUGUAAAUAUGCAUAUAAACAUGUGUUGUGAGUUGUUAUUGAUUUAUUGACUCUGGUAUCUUUUAGCAGAAUGGAUUUUCUGUUUUUAUCUUAUAACAAAAAUUUUUAUAGCAGCUCUUUUUGUGGUAGGGAAGAAUUGAAAACUGAAGGAAUGUCAAUCAAUUUGAGAAUAGAUAAAGAAGUUGUAAUGGUAAUAUUAUUUGUGCUAUCAGAAAUGAUGAGCAGGAUGAUUUCAGGAAAACCUGGAAAGACAUGAUGAAUUGAUGCGAAGUGAAGUGAACAGAGCCAAAAGAACAUUGUACACAAUAGUAAUAAUAUUGUUUGAUGACUAAGUAUGAAUCACCUCACUGUUAUCAUCAAUCGAGUGCUAUGAGACAAUCUCAGAGACUCAUGAUGAAAAAUGCCAUAUUCCUCCAGAGAAGGAAAUGAUGGAAUGUGAAUGCAAACCAAAACAAAUUAUAUUUCACUUUCUUCUUUUUUUUAGAUCUUCUCCACAAUAGAACCUCUUUGGAAUAAUAUUUUACAUUAUUGCUAUUAUAAAAUCUCUAUCAGAUUGCUUACUGUCUCAAAGAGGGUGAAACAAUAAGGAUGGAGGGAUAAAAUUUGGAACUAUUUUUUUAAAUGUUCAAAAUUAUUUUUACAUGUAAUUGGAGAAAAAUAAAAUGUUAUUUUAAAAUAUUGUUAGAUGCGAUGACUCCCUAGGUAGAGAAGAGAGCCAGGGGUGCUAGAAAACAUUUUGAUGAUUUAAAAAAAAUCAGAAGACAUUAAGAAAGUAUUAUUUUCACAAUUUACAGGAGACUAAUUUUUCUGAAUUAAAUAAUGAAAAAAUGGCAAAGUAUAGAAAAAGAAUUUUCAAAGAGACUGCUUUAAGUCACCUCAAAAGAGCUUACAUGAUAGCAAAUACUGUGGCCACAAAAAUGUGGGUUUGGAGACUUUGAACUGCCAAAACUGUAAAGAUAAUUUUUAGUGUAUUGAGUUAAAUCAAAAAUAAGUGUUCACCAUGGGAAAAAUUCCCAAAUAUGUAAUACCCAAGUCAGCUGGGUUUUAUGGAGAUUUUAAUUAAUAUGAAUGUAGGAAUUAAGGAAAGGGAGAGAGACAGAGUAAAAGGAAAUAGUAGGAAAAGGCUUAGGUCAUGGCCUAAGUCUUAAGAGAGACUAGUCACUCUUUAAUCACUCAUCACAAGAUUUUGUCCCACGCAAAACUCUAGUGUUCAGAGACCCAGCUACUCCAACUAGUAAAAUCAGAAGGGAAACAACAAAUUGGGAAAAAUCUUCAUAGAAACCUCUGACAAAGGUUUAAUUACUCAAAUUUAUAAAGAGCUAAAUCAAUUGUACAAAAAUGCAAGCCAUUCCCCAAUUGAUAAAUGGGCAAGGGACAUGGAUAGGCAGUUUUCAGAUAAAGAAAUCAAAACUAUUAAUAAGCACAUGAAGAAGUGUUCUAAAUCUCUCAUAAUCAGAGAGAUGCAAAUCAAAACAACUCUGAGAUAUCACCUCACACCUAUCAGAUUGGUUAACAUGACAGCAGAGGAAAGCAGUGAAUGCUGGAGGGGAUGUGGCAAAGUAGGGACAUUAAUUCAUUGCUGGUGGAGUUGUGAACUUUUCCAACCAUUCUGGAGGGCAAUUUGGAACUAUGCCCAAAGGGCGAUAAAAGAAAGUCUACCCUUUGAUCCAGCCAUAGCACUGCUGGGUUUGUACCCCAAAGAGAUAAUGGGGAAAAAGACUUGUACCAGAAUAUUCAUAGCUGGGCUCUUUGUGGUGGCCAAAAAUUGGAAAAUGAGGGGAUGCCCUUCAAUUGGGGAAUGGCUGAGCAAAUUGUGGUAUAUGUUGGUGAUGAGCACUAUUGUGCUAAAAGGAAUAGUAAAGUGGAGGAAUUCCAUGGAGACUGGAACGACCUCCAGGAAGUAAUGCAGAGCGAGUGGAGCAGAACCAGGAGAACAUUGUACACAGAGACUAAUACACUGUGGUGUAAUUGAACGAAUGGACUUCUCCAUUAGUGGCGGUGUAAUGUCCAUGAACAAUCUGCAGGGGUCUAGGAGAAAAACACUAUCCAUAAGCAGAGGACAACCUUUGGGAGUAAAAACACCUAGGAAAAACAACUGCCUGACUACAGAGGUUGAGGGGACAUGACAGAGGAGAGACUCUAAAUGAACACUCUAAUGCAGAUACUAACAACAUGGCAAUGGGUUCAAUUCAAGAACACAUGUGAUAUCCAGUGGAAUCACGUGUCGGCUAUGGGGGUUUGGAGGGGAAAGGAAAAGAAAAUGAUUUUUGUCUUUAAUGAAUAAUGCUUGGA